rnacentral:rRNA from 1 species
UGCGUAACGCGUAUGCAACCUGCCUGACACAGGGGGAUAAUCCGAAGAAAGUUUGGUCUAAUACCCCAUAAUACCGAUAUAGGCAUCUAUGUUGGUUGAAAGCUUUGGUGGUGUCAGAUGGGCAUGCGGUUGUAUUAGCUAGUUGGUGAGGUAACGGGCUCACCAAGGCGACGAUACAUAGGGGGACUGAGAGGUUAACCCCCCACCACUGGUACUGAGACACGGACCAGACUCCUACGGGAGGCAGCAUG